UAAAAAGAUCCACCGUUGCAAGAGAGCCGCGUCUUAUUUAAUAGAAAUUAAGAACAAUAAAAAUCGAUAAGAGGAGAAAUUGUUUCGCACUGCAAAACUGAAGAGAAAUACAACAGGACUCUCUAUCAUUCAAGAAUGCCACAUCGUAACGGUAUCUUAGGACGUAGGAAUAUCGAACGGAAAUAUAAACACGUUGCAGCGAAUGCUACUUUCGUUUGAGAAACGUGUAACUCCGGAGACAUGUGUCCGACAAUUCUUCAACGUUUUAUACUUGUAAUUGAGGGCUCGUGAAGCGUCGCAAUUGUGCACGAAGAGCUAUAGGAAAGAAAAUGACAGUGGCACCAAUAUUGUAUUUUUUAAAAGACACAUUGUCUAUGAUACUUUGAACGUAUUGUUGCACACGUACAUUUUUUAAAAGACACAUUGUCUAUGAUACUUUGAACGUAUUGUUGCACGUACGUACAUACAGUGUGUAUAGUGAAAUAUGUAGCCGUUUAUCGAGGACUGUGCACAUGCACGCCAAAACGUGGGCAUUUGCAACACACUUUACCGAGGAUCGACCCUUCAGAAAUUAUGCAUACAUCACUUUGCUGUUUCCAAUCUAUGAUUUACGCUCUUCGACGCAUAUUGAAAACAGAUGCAUCGAUGCAAUCUUUUUCGAUGCAUCGUUCCGCGCGUUUAGGUGUAUUGGACGAACAUAAAAGUUCAAUUUCAGUGUAUCUCUUCUUUUAGAACAGAUGAUAAUUUCUUGUACGAUCGAGCUAUGAGAGAUCUGAAACUUACGCAGUAAAUUAUGGCGAUGGGCGAAAAUUGAAUUAUAAACUGUAAUGAAAAGUUAUAGUAAAAAAAGGGAGUGUGAUAUUCAUAAUUUCUGACUUGAUAUUAACAGAAGCAAUUAAAAUAAUUUACAAGAAAAAUUAGAUGGAAGUUGCAAAAAAAGGUGGAAAUAGAUUUUAACACUGAACAGGUCUUUAAAAAUGAAAAUCGCACGGUGAAGUCAAUAUUUAAUAAAAGGUAAAAGACUAAGGCUAAGGUGAGAAUAACUGGAUCUCAGAAAUUUAUCUGAUCGCGAAUUUACGCGGUGAAAUUAAUAUCUCGGACAGGUAACGCUAAAGAUGUUGCCCAAUUAUUGCAAUUGCCGCUGGAGAAAAAGUUCGUGCUGCAAGAACGGAGUCACAAAAUCAGAUAAAAAGGAAACAGUGGCGCAAGGACGUACGAAAAUAAUAAAUGGUGAUCGAGCACGAGGACGCGAAGGAACGAUUGCUCUUUAAAGAAGAAAAAGAAGGAAGAAAAUUAGAGAGUGGAGAUCAAUUUAGAAUAUUUACUGUACCCACUCUAAUAUUUGUGGAGGUUUGAAACUGAUGUCCAACCGAUACGUGGCUUCGCAGCUUAGCUUCACGGUCUUCAACUGCCGAAAUCUCGCCGAGGUCUCCAUUUUGCAGUAAACUGGACCGGCAGCCGGUUCCCUCCUCAGGGACAAAGUCACUCGAAAAUGUCCAUCAGCACCCAUCUAGUCCCAUAAUUUAACUUUGGUGGGAAUACAAAAAAAAAAAAAGCAGCGCAACGUCUAUUCUGGUGAUCGAUGCUCACAAAAAUGUAGAUGUGAGCUUAAAUCACGCGAUGUGAUCGUUGAGA